rnacentral:rRNA from 1 species
AACGAACGCUGGCGGCAGGCUUAACACAUGCAAGUCGAGCGCGGUCUUUCGGGACUGAGCGGCGGACGGGUGAGUAACGCGUGGGAACGUGCCUUCUUCUCUGGAAUAGCCCUGGGAAACUGGGAGUAAUGCCGGAUACGCCCUUGGCAGCGAUGUUUGGGGGAAAGAUUUAUCGGAGGAAGAUCGGCCCGCGUUGGAUUAGGUAGUUGGUGGGGUAAUGGCCUACCAAGCCGACGAUCCAUAGCUGGUUUGAGAGGAUGACCAGCCACACUGGGACUGAGACACGGCCCAGACUCCUACGGGAGGCAG